GAGGUGACUUCUGCCCAGUGCUCUGAUUGUCACUGCGAAGAGAUUCAGCCAAGCGCGGGUAAACGGCGGGAGUAACUAUGACUCUCUUAAGGUAGCCAAAUGCCUCGUCAACCAAUUAUUGACGCGCAUGAAUGGAUCAACGAGAUUCCUGCUGUCCCUAGUUUCUGUCUGGUGAACCAACAGCCAAGGGAACGGGCUUGGAUGUGUCAGCGGGGAAAGAAGACCCUGUUGAGUUUGACUCUAGUUUGAUGCUGUGCAGCGACAUGAGGGGUGUAGCAUAGGUGGGAGGCCAGCGCCAUACGACGGGGAUCACCAUGAUGAUGUGUCCCUCUCUUCCUCCGCUCCAUCAUAUUCUCCCACACAGAACCAUCACCACGAUGAGAGAGAGAGGAGAGAGAGAGAGAAGGGAGAGAGUUGAGGAGUGUGAGCGAGAGAGAGACGAAGGGAGAAGAGACCCCCUGGUGCGAACCAGCAGUGAAAUACCACUACCUCCAGCGUCGUUUUACUCACUGAGUGGCCUGGGAGCGGCGGCCAUUGGACAUCAGGAUGCCCACCAUGACUGGGCCAUGCUGUGGCUUAUUCCCCGAUUCGUGAGCAACGUGCGGCCUCGGCUGCACAACCCUGGGAGAGAAUGCAACCCAAUCAGGAGGCCUCGAGACACAGAUCAGUUGGGGAGUUUGGCUGGGGCGGCACGCCUGUUACAAGGCAACGCAGGCGUCCUGAAGCAAUGCUCAGAUGGAACAGAAAUCUACCAGAGAGGAGCAGGCCAAAGGUGCUGCUGAUGCUGUGACUUCCAGUACAAGUCCAAAACGUGCAAGUGUGGCCUUGCGAUCCUUUGGUUAAGUGCACGAGUUUGGGAUAUUGAAGCCAGAGGUGUCAGAAAAAUUACCACAGGGAUAACUGGCUUGUGGCUGCCAAGCGUUCAAAGCGACGUCGCUUUUUGAUCCUUCGAUGUCGGCUCUUCCUAGCUUCCCACCCGCAGCCGAGUGGAAGA
rnacentral:rRNA from 1 species